AAGUUUCAUAGUUUAAUUUUAAAAAAAAUACCAGGCUGCAAUUCUGAAGAUACAUUUAAUGUUGAGACUUA
rnacentral:tRNA from 1 species